CAAUCCCUAGUUAACCAUAUAUACGCUUGAGUUCAAUAUUCAUGUAGUGUUAGACACUUAGAUUAUUAAGUAUCAUUAACCGAUCGACCAACAAUCAGACAAGAACAUGAUCGGCCAACCAACGCAUAGCUUUAAUAUCCACCACCCUUCACAAGCAAUCCCUCAAACACAUACAUGCCAACGUCAGGCCUACACUAACCAAAUACACACCAAGCCUAGUCUGGUACC
rnacentral:lncRNA from 1 species